rnacentral:rRNA from 1 species
CUGCAGCCCGAGUGGUGAUCGAUUUUAUUGAGCCUAAAGCGUCCGUAGCCGGUCUGGUAAAUUCUUGGGUAAAUCGAGCAGCUCAACUGUCCGAAUUCCGAGGAGACUGCCAGACUUGGGACCGGGAGAGGUCAGAGGUACUCCAGGGGUAGGGGCUAAAUCCUGUAAUCCUUGGGGGACCACCAGUGGCGAAGGCGUCUGACUAGAACGGAUUCGACGGUAAGGGACGAAACCCUGGGGCGCAAACCGGAUUAGAUACCCGAGUAGUCC